rnacentral:lncRNA from 1 species
UCUCAGGUAGUUCUCGAUUGUCUCUUUAUCGUGUUUCAGCUGCUCAUUGCACACUUCUGUCCCCCUUACAACUUCCCUUGUCGCCAGUGCCUUGAUGAUCUGCUUCUACUCGUAUGUGUUGCUUGCCGGGGGGAAUCCACCACCGAAGAAGAAGCCAGCAGCUGCUAUAUAAGUUGAUCCUUUAGUCCUAUUGUGGUCAAAGUUGUGCUCUGGUAAAUGUUACUGAUGGUAGGGGUGCAUUUUAUUACUUUUAAUUGUAGAACACUGAAAAAUAAUAGAGUUGUGUUCUUGAGUACAGUUCAUUCAGGUAUCUUUGUUACUUAGUGGAAGAUUCAGAGCAGAUACGAUUUGCGCUGGUUCUACAUGAACUUUUGUUC